CACAGAGUUAGCCGGUGCUUAUUCUGCGAGUAACGUCCACUAUCUCAGAGUAUUAAUCCAAGUAGCCUCCUCCUCGCUUAAAGUGCUUUACAACCAAAAGGCCUUCUUCACACACGCGGCAUGGCUGGAUCAGGGUUGCCCCCAUUGUCCAAUAUUCCCCACUGCUGCCUCCCGUAGGAGUCUGGGCCGUGUCUCAGUCCCAGUGUGGCGGAUCAUCCUCUCAGACCCGCUACAGAUCGUCGCCUUGGUAGGCCUUUACCCCACCAACUAGCUAAUCCGACUUAGGCUCAUCUAUUAGCGCAAGGCCCGAAGGUCCCCUGCUUUCUCCCGUAGGACGUAUGCGGUAUUAGCAUUCCUUUCGAAAUGUUGUCCCCCACUAAUAGGCAGAUUCCUAAGCAUUACUCACCCGUCCGCCGCUAGGUAAAGUAGCAAGCUACUUUUCCCCGCUCGACUUGCAUGUGUUAAGCCUGCCGCCAGCGUUCAAUCUGAGCCAGGAUCAAACU
rnacentral:rRNA from 1 species